CCCACCUUGUCCUCCCAAAGUGCUGGGAUUACAGGUGUGAGCCACCACACCCAGCCUCAAAUAUAAUUUUUAUUGGUGAAUUCAGGAAUUACAAGAACUUCAAUAAUGUCUGCUUACUUAACUUGGCAAUGCUCCCUCUACUCUCCUUCCAGCUCCCCAGUGAAGCAUGGCCUUGUGCGCCAUGAGCCGAUUUAAAGUUUAAGAAGAUGACUCUAGAUGUUCCAUGGAGAAUGUUGGGAGUGAGAGUGGCCAUGGGAAGACCCAAUGAGAGGCUGUUGAGUUGCCCAGGAUAUAACUAGAGUCCAGGAAGGAUCGUAGCCCUACUGAGAACUUGAAAGAUCCCAAGUUCCAUCCUCAAAGCAUCCUCGCUGCCGCAUCAUUACAAAAUCCCCCUGAUCCACCUUUUCAAAGGGAGAGCAAAGAACUGUGGGCAUCAGAAUCGGGAAGACCUACCGCCUUUCAGAAAAGACAAGGUGGGAGAACAGAGGCAAGGGGUGUUCCCUCAGCAAACCUGGCAUCUUUACCUGUGAAGUGAGGACACCACGGCCAGGAGGACAAAAUGAGACAACACAUGGCAAGUGCUGAGUAAGGGCCCUGGCCCUUAUGAUAGAGACAGGAGGCAGCAAGCAGCCCCCAACAAAACCCUGCCUUCAAGCCUAAAACAGCCUGAAGGCUAAAAAACCAGACUUCGGGUCUCAAAUAAAGCCCAUACUUUCUUGAUUCUCUCUGAACAAUGCCCACCUGCGCACUGAGAGGAUGAGAUGGAACCUUGGAAAGUUCAAGCCAUUUGUAGUGACGGGAGUCUGACCUCUCCGGUUUCUGGGUGGUGACCUGAGAUUCAAUCUGUGAGAUUGGGGCCUGUUAACAUUAACCCACCUUGCUUUGCUUAGAGUUCACUUCCUUUUCUCCCAAUAAACUCCAUUAUCCCCAGCCCUU